GUGGUAGGGGCAGGCUUGAAACCCUUACAAUAGAGCAAGAAAAUAACAAGACAGGACCUAAAACCAAAACCCUCUCUCGACAGCGCCUCACUCUCUCUCUCGACACAUACCCAAAACCAGAAUCCUCACUCUCGAUAGCACGUCACUCUCUCGACAAAACCUAAAGCCAAAACCUCACUCUCCCAAACCCUCGCUCUUCACUCGCACUUCACUCGCCCAUUACAUUACUGAAUUCGAAACCCCCAAUUUUCUAGGGUUUCAAUUUUCAAUCUCAAGAGGAAAAUGUUGAAGCGGAAGGCAUCAUGGAAGAGGAUGUUCUCCCUCACCAUCUCCUUAAGGCCAUCACCGACCGUAAUCCAAGCGGUCGUCAUCCUCUCCGUCGAUCUGAGAGCAUGCCCGACAAUCGCUACUACGGCAGCAACGAGUACAUCAACUAGAAGUUGGGGUUUUUAUACGAAUUUCUUUUUGGGAUUUGGAUUUUACGGGCCUAGGGUUCUUUUUUCAUACCUUUAACUCGUCUAUAUAUUCUGUGCUUUCUUUGUGAUUCUUCGUUGCCAUUCUCUUCUGGGUUGUUCAAGUUCCUCAAUUUCCUCAUCUGGGUAUCUUUCAAUUUUUUCUGUUCUUCAAUCUUCUGGGCUGGUGAGUUUUCUCUCUGCUUUCUUGAUUUUGCCAUGUUUCCUCAUCUGGGUCUCUGUUGUUUUCUCAAUUUCAAGUUUUUUGGGAUUCAAAGUUGGGGGCUUUUUUCCCAAUUGCUUGUUUUAGUGAACAAAAGUCGGUUAAUUCUUCCAUUGUUAGGUCUUUCUUCUGUUUUGGGUUCUAGAUCUUGCUACUACUGCAUGCUGCUAGGUUUCUGCAGAGAUUUUGGUUCUGGGAGUUGGUCAUUCUCAGUAGAUUUGGUUUGUGCUUCCUUGAAUGUUAGCUACUAGGUGGAUUAGAGUUGGAAUUUUUUAUCAGGAAGCUGUUGGAAAUUGAGGCCUGUCUCAAUGCUGUAAACUAGGGGAUGUGAUGGUUUUGGGGCUCUUGUGAUGGUUGAUGAUUUUUGUUCUAUUCUUUGUAAUGUUCUUAAUUUAGUUUGUCAUCUCAUUUCACACCUCUAUAUGCAGGUUUAUUUGGAGGUUCCAAAUGGCAAAGAAUUGGCAGUGGCACUUCAAUCAAAGGGAAUUCCUUACGUGAUAUAUUAGAAAGAUGCAUUUUCUACUUAUGCUGCUUCCCACUUUCGACAUGCUUUACUUUCAGUGGUACAAAGUUCAUCAACUCAUACAUGGGAUGCUUUCCAACUUGCACAUGCUUCUUUUAGGCUCUACUGUGUACAAAACAACCAUGCUGUUCGUGCUAACUAUGUCAAAUGUAUUUUUAAGAAAUCUAAAGAUGCUUACAAGAUCAUAAAGCCAUAAAUUUGGAAUGCUACUUUAGAAGAAAUGAGGAUAGUGACCUCAUGAUCCAGAACUGCUGCUGUGACUACUUAUAAGUAACUACCCAUAACAUUUUAGCAAUGAUCUGAUGUGGACAAAAUACCAUCAUAUUUCUUAUCAACAACGGAGGCUAUAUAAACAAUCGAAAUAGAGCUUCAUGAUGGCCAUUUUCAGCAGCUUUUAACAUCAACUGGAAACUUCUGCAUCUAUUCAAUUGUUGUUGGAAUGGUUAUCGAAAUAUCAGUUGGAACUCAGAGGAUGAGGGAUUACUGCUAAUGUAAACCUACUCAUCAUCCUAAUUGGAUAUCACUUAUGCAUAUAAAUAUAUAACUUCACAGACGCAUCAGCUGCUAUUAGAGGAGGUCGUAUCCCUUCACCUGAAAGCAAGCCAUCUUUCGAAGAGGUUAAGGAGGUCCUAGGUUUCAGAACCAAAAAAAUCAGUCCUCAAGAUCCCAUUGUUGAAGUCAUAACACCUGAAGUGUACAAUAACUAUGGUGCAAAUGGUUUCAAGGAUUCAUUUUCCGGGAUGCAGCUAGAACUCCAUAAAGAGAGCAAAAAGCUCCUAAAAGGCCUGUUCAUAUUAGUGCUUGGAAGCUUGUAAGGUGACUCCAAUGAGGCCAUGAGAGCAGCAAAGCUUGCAAAGCUAGAAUCCUUAAGUAAAUUUCUGGAUGUAUUUUGCUAGGGGAGUAUUAUUAGAUGUACUCUUUUGUGGAUACAAGAUUAGCAUUGUCAAAUCCAUUUUGGUACAUUUCUGUGGAUUAUAACAAUAUGAUAUAUAUUAUUAAUGAGUAACUGUCGUUUGGUAA